rnacentral:rRNA from 1 species
GACGAACGCUGGCGGCGCGCUUAACACAUGCAAGUCGAACGGAAAGGCCUGCUUUCCCUUGUGGAUUGCGGGUACUCGAGUGGCGAACGGGUGAGUAACACGUGAGUGAUCUGCCCCCAACUUGGGUAUAAGCCUGGGAUACUGGGUCUAAUUCCCGAUAGGACUGCAGGGUGGUGCCGGUGGUGGAAAACGAUUUUCUAGUGGUUGGGGAUGAGCCCGCGGCCGAUCAGCUUGUUGGUGGGGUAAUGGCCUACCAAGGCGGCGACGCAUGGGCGGCAUGGGAGGAAGAGCAGCCAGGAGGGGGAUGAGAGAAGGCCCAGACUCGGACGGGAGGCAGCAGUGGGGAAUAUUGGACAAUGGGCGGAGGCCUGGGACCGCCAUGCGGCGUGAGGGAUGAAGGGCUUAGGGUUGUAAAGCUCUUGUAGCCGGGAUGAUAAUGACAGGACCGGGAGAAUAAGCGCCGGCUAACUCCGUG